CCAGCAUCAAACGCACAUGUUGGGUGUGUUGUGUUGAGCAUUGCAGCGGUUUUACAGCGUUUAUCAGAGCUGUGCACGCUGUCUGCAGGCCACAGUUUCAGCGCCACGAGCCUCUCGGUCCGUGAGAAACACUGAAAAAGCCGAGUUAUUGUCGGAAACAGCUGCGAGGAGGCUGAAACGCGCCCGGCGUGGCUGCAGCGGCUACUGUCUGUCUGACUAACGUUACACCUGGCUGGAGGCUUUGAGGCUCGCCGUGCGACACAAUGAGCUCCAAGGUGUGUAAGAACUGCGGCAGCACGGACAUCGAUGUGGACCAGGCGCGCGGCGAUGCCGUCUGCAUGGGCUGCGGCUCCGUGCUGGAGGACAACAUCAUCGUGGCCGAGGUGGAGUUUGUGGAGUCGAGCGGCGGAGGCUCGCUGGCCGUCGGACAGUUCAUCUCCUCAGAUGGCGGAGGCCCCAACAUGUCUUUUGGAGACGGACACUUGCAGAAUUGUGGGAGGGAGUCCAGAGCGCAGACACUGUCGAGAGCAAAACAGAACAUCAACACUCUGGGUCACCAGCUGCAGAUGAACAAGCACUGUCUGGACACGGCCUUCAACUUCUACAAGAUGGCGCUCAGCAAACACCUGACCCGCGGCCGUAAGGCCUCCCACGUGGUCGCCGCCUGCCUCUACAUGGUCUGCCGGACUGAGGGAACGCCACACAUGCUGCUGGACCUCAGCGAUCUCCUGCAGGUGAACGUCUACGUCCUGGGCAGAACCUUCCUCGUGCUGGCCAGAGAACUGUGCAUCAACGCCCCGGCUAUAGACCCGUGCCUUUACAUCCCCCGCUUCGCACAGAUGCUGGAAUUUGGGGAGAAGAACCACGAAGUCUCCAUGACUGCGAUGAGGCUGGUGCAGAGGAUGAAGAGGGACUGGAUGCACACCGGACGAAGGCCGUCAGGACUCUGCGGAGCAGCCCUUCUCGUUGCCGCUCGUAUGCACGACUUUCGCCGCACCAUCAAAGAAGUCAUCGGCAUUGUGAAAGUGUGUGAAACCACAAUCAGAAAAAGACUGAUGGAGUUUGAAGACACACCCACCAGUCAGCUGACCAUCGAAGAGUUCAUGAAGAUGGAUCUGGACCAAGAGUGUGACCCACCCUGCUUUACAGCCGGACUGAUGAAGAAAAAAGCCCAUCAGCUGGAGAUGGAGCUGAAGAAAAAGAUGGAUGACGUAGAAGAGGAAAUUCAGAGCUACCAGGAUGAAAUAGACGCAGAGCUUCAGUCCAACAGACCCAAGCUGAGGGGGGUGUACGCCGCCUACGCUAAGGAAGAUGGUGACAAUGAGGAGCAGGAGGUCCUGUCCACAACCUCCAAGAUGGAAGACUGUGAGGAACCAGAAGAGGAAGACGAGCUUCAGGCCGUGGCCAGGCACUUUGGCAAAGAGCUCGACGAGCUCUCGCUGGAGGCUCUGAUCAAACUGGAGCAGAAGAGACCAGAGGAGGAGCAGGAGGAGGACGGUCAAAAACGAAAAGGCCCUUCGCUGGCGUCCAUCCUGGGCAGGAUGCCCUCAGCGGCCACCCUCGGCCUCACAGAGACCAUCGGCAGCUGCAUCGGAGACGGGAAGGAGAACAAUGGUGCUGCUGACGGUGGGGAGCUGGACCUGAGUGGGAUAGAUGACCGUGAGAUAGAGCUGUAUCUGCUGAGCGACAAAGAAAUCAAAGUCAAGACGGCGCUGUGGAUGGCAGAAAACUCAGACUACCUCAAAGAGCAGAAAGAAAAAGAAGCAAAGAUAGCGAAGGAGAAGGAGCUCGGGAUCUACAAAGAAAGGAAGCCUAGAGGACCCAGGAAGAAGCUUCCCCUGAUCCACGCCAGCACCGCAGACGAGGCCAUCGGGAAGAUGCUGGAGCACAAGAAGAUCUCCUCAAAGAUCAACUACGACAUCCUGAAGGACCUCAACAUCAAGUCCGGCGCCAGCCCAGCUCGCAAGGCCGAGUCCCCGAAGAAGGAGCCGAUUGCCGCCAAACUGACCGGACGUAACCGCCAACCUGCUCGAUCUUCAAUCAGCCUCAGCACGCCGCUCAGCACCCUGGGAAAAAGGUCGGUAGAAGGUUGCAGCCGUUCAUCAGCGGACAGCCACACAAGAAGCUCGCAGCAGAGCAGAUUGCCAAUUCCAACCCCCUGCCGGUGCCUGUGGGAGACCCCGCCAGCGUAGUGGUGGUGGAGAGCGGGCCGGUCCACUACGACGACACUGCUGCUGCUGCUGCUGCUGAGGAGGAAGAUGAGGAGGAAGAGGAGACUUGUGUCAGCGCCAUGGAGAUGUUGGGUGGCAACGAUUACGGCUGUGAUGGAGAUUACGACGAUGGAUUCUAGCAGUGGUCCUGCCCCGGGUUAUUAUGUCCAACUAGUACGGACCACGUGGACUCCUUCAGUGUAUCAAACGUUUACUACCAGAGACACACAAUGGCUGCAGCUGCAGACGUGAGCUGGAGCAGGAAUAAACGGGACACGUGUGCAAAAAAACAAGAAGUCAGAGGGUCAACUGGGAGGACGCUGACGGGGGUGCUGAAGUGAAAAUGAGGGAUAGAUUAUAUUUAUCAGAGGAGGUCACAGGCAGCCUGCAGUGACAAUACUGCACAAUCAAAGGUGGGAAAUAUUCCAGUACGCACUGGUUUGUUGAUUCGCAUGUUAGAAGACAUUUAGGUUAAAACUGGGAUAAACUUUAGACAAAUAAGUUUCAUAAAACCAAAUAACUGUUGAUUCAGCAGCAUUUAAAUGACUGAUUUCACAAGUUUUCAGAUUUAAACGCUGCUGAAACGGUUUUAAGCUAGCUGUCUUUAUGUCCUGCAAAAAUACCAAAUCGCUGUUCACUGUGAAGCACUCGUCAGGAGACGAAUGCAGAAGGAAUUCAUUUUCAGGAGAACAGCUGUCUGCGCUGGGUGAAACGUUUCCACCGAGGUUUUAUUGCAGCGUAACGCAGCAAAAAGCAAAGCAGAACCAAACGUAUUAUCCUUUAACUUGCACUUUGCAUUCCUGACACUCUAAAACUUCACAGCAUGUGACUUCCACGCGUACUUCCUGAUAAUUAAUUCUGCCUCAGAUCUAUUAUACUGUGUACUGAAAAACAAGCAUCUAACAAUCAGGUAGCGUGAGAUCAAUCAGCAAAGUGCAGAAAGUAUUUUCCUGUCACUUCUGCUUCAGAUGAGGUUGAUCUGCAAACAGCCUCACGGCUCUGAUCAGUAUUUAUUAAUGCCUUAGGUGAUUAGUGAUCCGACACGCGCUGUCUGCUCUUAAGCCAAAGUAUUACGAGGUGGCCUUCGAACAAUGUGUGCCAGUGUUUGCUGAGAUGCUAUUAAAUCCAGAAAUAGUGAGAUUUUAAUUCCAGAUCAAUGUCGAAUGGUUUGAUUAGUUUUAUGUUGCUAUUAAUUGGCUCUGGGCUUUCCUUAAUGAGUGUUUUUUUUUGUUUUGUGUGUUAAUUUAUGAGAUUGUGUCAUUUGAUGGUUAAAUAUGCCUCACGAUGUCCUGCCACAGGCCGCGCAGGUGUUUAAAGGUGCCAGAUGGAUGAGGGAGCCCAUUCGGAGCAUAGAUUUAUUUUGUAUUUAAGCUUUUAUGAUUUUUGUGUUGGGGGAAAAAAUGACUUUGGGAGGUGAAACAGAAUGUGGCCUUUUCACUGUGUCCACACAACAGUAUUUAAGAAGGGGGCCGGUUGCCUCUGUGCUGCUGCUACAAGUGAAAUGUUACAUCUGCAUAUUGUUGUGUGCAUUUGCUGCUACACUAAAGAUUUCACUAAAUGACAA